GAUCAACGCUGGCGGCGUGCUUAACACAUGCAAGUCGAACGAAGUUUUUCCUUCGGGAGAAACUUAGUGGCGGACGGGUGCGUAACGCGUGGGUAACCUGCCCUGUACAGGGGGACAACAGCUGGAAACGGCUGCUAAUACCGCAUAGGCACUUAGCACUGCAUGGUGCAUAGGGAAAAGGAGCAAUCCGGUACAGGAUGGACCCGCGUCUGAUUAGCCAGUUGGCAGGGUAACGGCCUACCAAGGCGACGAUCAGUAGCCGAUCUGAGAGGAUGUACGGCCACAUUGGGACUGAGACACGGCCCAGACUCCUACGGGAGGCAGCAGUGGGGAAUAUUGCACAAUGGAGGAAACUCUGAUGCAGCGACGCCGCGUGAGUGAAGAAGUAUUUCGGUAUGUAAAGCUCUAUCAGCAGGGAAGAAAAUGACGGUACCUGACUAAGAAGCACCGGCUAAAUACGUG
rnacentral:rRNA from 1 species